rnacentral:rRNA from 1 species
CACGUAGGGCGCGAGCGUUGUCCGGAAUUAUUGGGCGUAAAGAGCUCGUAGGCGGCCUGUUGCGUCCGCUGUGAAAGCCCCGGGGCUUAACCCCGGGUCGGCAGUGGAUACGGGCAGGCUAGAGGUAGGUAGGGGAGAAUGGAAUUCCCGGUGUAGCGGUGAAAUGCGCAGAUAUCAGGAGGAACACCGAUGGCGAAGGCAGGUCUCUGGGCCACUACUGACGCUGAGAAGCGAAAGCAUGGGGGAGCGAACAGG